UGUGCUGACUGUUGGGAUUGUUAUAUUGUGUGUCAUAUUUGUUGUACUGACCGAUGAUGUUGGUAUACUGUUUGAUGUACCUGUUGUACUAACUGGCGAGGUUGUUAUAUUGUGCGUUAUACCCAAUGUGCUGACUGUUGGGAUUGUUAUAUUGUGUGUCAUAUUUGCUGUACUGACCGAUGAUGGUGGUAUACUGUUUGAUGUACUUGUUGUACUAACAGGCGAGGUUGUUAUAUUGUGCGUUAUACCCAAUGUGCUGACUGUUGGUAUUGUUAUAUUGUGUGUCAUAUUUGCUGUACUGACCGAUGAUGUUGGUAUACUGUUUGAUGUACCUGUUGUACUAACUGGCGAGGUUGUUAUAUUGUGCGUUAUACCCAGUGUGCUGACUGUUGGGAUUGUUAUAUUGUGUGUCAUAUUUACUGUACUGACCGAUGAUGGUGGUAUACUGUUUGAUGUACUUGUUGUACUAACAGGCGAGGUUGUUAUAUUGUGCGUUAUACCCAAUGUACUGACUGUUGGGAUUGUUAUAUUGUGUGUCAUAUUUACUGUACUGACCGAUGAUGGUGGUAUACUGUUUGAUGUACCUGUUGAGGUUGUCGU